rnacentral:rRNA from 1 species
GACGAACGCUGGCGGCGUGCUUAACACAUGCAAGUCGAACGGAAAGGCCCUGCUUUUGUGGGGUGCUCGAGUUGCGAACGGGUGAGUAACACGUGAGUAACCUGCCCUUGACUUUGGGAUAACUUCAGGAAACUGGGGCUAAUACCGGAUAGGAGCUCCUGCUGCAUGGUGGGGGUUGGAAAGUUUCGGCGGUUGGGGAUGGAAUCGCGGCUUAUCAGCUUGUUGGUGGGGUAGUGGCUUACCAAGGCUUUGACGGGUAGCCGGCCUGAGAGGGUGACCGGCCACAUUGGGACUGAGAUACGACCCAGACUCCUACGGGAGGCAGCAGUGGGGAAUAGUGCACAAUGGGCGGAACCCUGAUGCAGCAACGCCGCGUGCGGGAUGACGGCCUUCGGUUUGUAUUCCGCUGUCGCCUGUGACGGAGCGUGAGUGACGGUAAUGGGUAAAGAAGCACCGGCUAACUACGUG